UACGUAGGUGGCAAGCGUUGUCCGGAUUUACUGGGCGUAAAGAGCGCGCAGGCGGUCGUUCAAGUCGCGUGUGAAAGCCCCCGGCUCAACUGGGGAGGGUCACGCGAUACUGAUCGACUGGAAGGCAGGAGAGGGUAGUGGAAUUCCCGGUGUAGUGGUGAAAUGCGUAGAGAUCGGGAGGAACACCAGAGGCGAAGGCGGCGACCUGGACAAGUACUGACACUCAACUACGAAAGCGUGGGGAGCAAACAGG
rnacentral:rRNA from 1 species